AGGAUAGGUUCCAGUCCACAGCAGUCCUGCAAUGGAUGGAUGGACAGUUAUACAUGCAUCCCAUCCAGACUGCCACGAUCCUCACUUGGAUGAGCCGUUGUUGUGCGAAGAAAGAAGAAAUGAGAAAACAUUUCAGUCUGAAUGCUCGCUGUGUUCUUCAGAAAGGAGAAUACCAGACACCUGGGGGUUGGCGGUGGUGGUGUUGUGGAGGACCUUAUACAUCACACAGAC
rnacentral:lncRNA from 1 species